AACUUGCUGGAUAUCAUUUAAUUGGUGUAUUUUUAUUUAUUAUAUUUUAUUUGGAUUUUCUAACACAUGAGAAAGUAUUUAUUAAGAAGCUCAAUAUUUUUUAUUAAUUGGCGAAUUUUUAGACAAAAAGCCUACUCACAUGUUAAUAAAUUAAUUUUAUUGUCGAGGUGUUUUGCCGACGGCUUUCUUUCGCCACCAGUACUGCUGCUGUCGUCGCUGCCGAUGUCGCUUCUGCCUCUCUAUUUGGUUGAGAAUUUUCCGCUUGGUGAAAGUUGGGACUUGUGUUUUUUCCUUUCGAUCUGUCCAAUUUAUGGAAUUUUAAUUUUGGUGAUUUCAAUUUUUUCACUUUUUUUCUUUUCACUUCGGGUGAUUGUUUUUUGUAUGCUAAUUCCGUCUCGCGUGAGUCCGAUUUCUACGUUCGGGCGCCAAUUAUAAGUCGGUUGGUUAUUUUGGUUAUAUUUAUUUACCACUCUCCCGUUAGGGCGAGGGUCACAACAUUUGGGUAUAUAUAAUUGCAAGGCGUAAGCCUCGGAGUAUGAUUAAUAACUAACUUAAGAAUUCGGUCCCGGUUCAACUCCAGGCCUCUGGUCCGCAGCAGAACUGCUGGCAGAAGGCCAGGUCAGCACAUCUGCGUCAGGCCGAUCACUCGCUCCGCGAGUGCUCCGUGCGGGCUCCGGCAAUUGCACCUGGAGUACGCGAUCAGCAGUUUGUUUAGUGCGCGUGCAGACCACCGGAUAUGGCCUGCAAUUCAGCAGUUUCACUCCGUGAGAACUGCUUGUGUUAACUUAUAUACAUUAUAUGGUCGGCAACUCCUGCCUGUUACAUACUUUUCAACGAAUCUAGUAUACCCGUUUAUUCAACAUGAAUAAACAUGUGCUCCUGCAUUAGUACUCUUUAAAAGGGCCUUUGGGCUUUGUUUCAUAAAAACUUAUGACAUAACACUCGUUUUUGUAUCACCCACGGUCAUUAUUACAUGUACUCCAUUAUUUAAAGAGUUUUUUCGUUUUGUUUAAUAGUUAUUUUUCCACCUUUCUAUUUCAGGCCAACAAUACCUCCUAUAAGUCCGCCAUUAUACAAUUUAAAGUUUUCAAUUAUAGGCUUAAAGAACCAGCACAAAGAGCUAAGAAAGCGAAUAGAAAAUUUGGGCGGAAAAUUUGAAGCUAAAAUAUCGGAAAACACGAUAGCAAUAAUAUCAACAGAAUUAGAAAUACAAAAGAAAUCUGUCCGUAUGAAGUCUGCAGAAGAGCUCGGAAUUCAAAUUGUGCCUAUUGAAUUUUUAGAUUUUGUUGAAGCCGAUAAAGAAGGAGCUAUUAAAUAUAUAAAUAGCACAUGUAUUUGUAGUUGGGGGACAGAUCCAAAAUCUAGAAUUCAAAAGGAAACAACAAAAAGCUUAAAUUCGAACAGUAUAUAUACAAAAUCCAUGCCAGUAUCACGGACAUUUAAAGUAAAAGAUGGCCUAGCUGUUGAUCCGGACAGUCGGCUUGAGGACAUCGCCCAUGUUUAUGUGGACAGUAACAAUAAAUACAGUGUUGUUCUUGGCUUGACUGACAUUCAGCGAAAUAAAAACUCUUACUACAAAGUUCAGCUGUUAAAAGCGGAUAAAAUGGAGAAGUAUUUAUACAAUAUACAAACAGGACCAUCUUUCCAGGAGAGGAGGUCAUGUCAAGAUCAUUACGUCAUUUUUUUAACUUCACGAUUAUUUUAAUAACUUGUCCGCUAUCCAGACCGAUUUAAAGAAGCUGAAUGUCAAACGAUGUUAAACUUAACGCACCCUUAACACAAACGAGUUAUCAACUUUUGUGACGAAAAAUUAUUUUAUACUUAACUUAGAAAAUAAAACAU
rnacentral:misc_RNA from 1 species